rnacentral:rRNA from 1 species
AUUGAACGCUGGCGGCAUGCCUUACACAUGCAAGUCGAACGGCAGCAUGGGUGCUUGCACCUGAUGGCGAGUGGCGAACGGGUGAGUAAUGCAUCGGAACGUACCCGGAAGUGGGGGAUAACGUAGCGAAAGUUACGCUAAUACCGCAUAUUCUGUGAGCAGGAAAGCGGGGAUCGCAAGACCUCGCGCUUCCGGAGCGGCCGAUGUCGGAUUAGCUAGUUGGCGGGGUAAAGGCCCACCAAGGCAACGAUCCGUAGCGGGUCUGAGAGGAUGAUCCGCCACACUGGGACUGAGACACGGCCCAGACUCCUACGGGAGGCAGCAGUGGGGAAUUUUGGACAAUGGGGGCAACCCUGAUCCAGCCAUGCCGCGUGAGUGAAGAAGGCCUUCGGGUUGUAAAGCUCUUUCGGCUGGGAAGAAAUCGCAUCUCCUAAUACGGGGUGUGGAUGACGGUACCAGCAUAAGAAGCACCGGCUAACUACGUGCCAGCCGCCGCGGUAACAC